rnacentral:ribozyme from 1 species
AUGUAAAUAUUCUAGAGCAGAAAUAGUUAUGUGCCACCAAUACAAAAAGGCACACAAAACAAAAUAAUAGAAAAAGCUUUCAUCUUUUUUUGUUUUUUGUUUUUGUUUUUGUUUUUUAACACUCUUUUUUUACUGUUUUCUAAAGCAUACAGAUCUUAGGUGUAAUGCUCAAGCUGAUGGACUUAAAUCACAUACUCUGCAAGGAAGGCCCUUGAACUUGAACGUAAUUGAUUUAAUGAGCAUAAAUUGAUCCAUAGCAAAUGAUCAAUUUUAGUCUUUGAAACCUCUGAUCUCUAACAGUUGUUUCAACAAACGAGCU